rnacentral:rRNA from 1 species
CCUACGGGUGGCAGCAGUAGGGAAUCUUCCACAAUGGGCGAAAGCCUGAUGGAGCAACGCCGCGUGGGUGAAGAAGGUCUUCGGAUCGUAAAACCCUGUUGUUAGAGAAGAAAGUGCGUGAGAGUAACUGUUCACGUUUCGACGGUAUCUAACCAGAAAGCCACGGCUAACUACGUGCCAGCAGCCGCGGUAAUACGUAGGGGGCAAGCGUUAUCCGGAUUUAUUGGGCGUAAGGGAAACGAGGUCGGUCUUUUAGUUCUGAGGGAAAAGCCUGCGGCUAACCGGGGGUAGGGCAUUGGAAACGGGGAGCGUUGAGGGCAGAAGAGGAGAGUGAAACUCAAUGGGAAGCGGUGAAACGGG